GGUUGUGGCUCAGUGGCAGAGCGCUCGCCUAGCAUGCACAAGGCAUGCGAGGCCCUGGGUUCAAUCCUCAGCACCA
rnacentral:tRNA from 1 species